rnacentral:rRNA from 1 species
UACGUAGGGGGCAAGCGUUGUCCGGAAUUAUUGGGCGUAAAGAGCGUGUAGGCGGUCCGGUAAGUCAGCUGUGAAAGUCAAGGGCUCAACCCUUGAAUGCCGGUUGAUACUGUCGGGCUAGAGUCCGGAAGAGGCGAGUGGAAUUCCAGGUGUAGCGGUGAAAUGCGUAGAUAUCUGGAGGAACACCGGUGGCGAAGGCGGCAUCCUGGACCGGUAUUGACGCUGAGGCGCGAAAGCCAGGGGAGCAAACGGG